UUNGANUGGGCGAAGCCUGACGCAGCGACGCCGCGUGGGGGAUGAAGGCCUUCGGGUUGUAAACCCCUUUCAGCAGGGACGAAGCGAAAGUGACGGUACCUGCAGAAGAAGCGCCGGCUAACUACGUGCCAGCAGCCGCGGUAACACGUAGGGCGCAAGCGUUGUCCGGAAUUAUUGGGCGUAAAGAGCUCGUAGGCGGUCUGUUGCGUCCGCUGUGAAAUCUCGGGGCUUAACCCCGAGCCUGCAGUGGAUACGGGCAGACUAGAGGUAGGUAGGGGAGAAUGGAAUUCCCGGUGUAGCGGUGAAAUGCGCAGAUAUCGGGAGGAACACCGGUGGCGAAGGCGGUUCUCUGGGCCUUACCUGACGCUGAGGAGCGAAAGCGUGGGGAGCGAACAGGAUUAGAUACCCUGGUAGUCCACGCCGUAAACGUUGGGCGCUAGGUGUGGGAUCCUUCCACGGAUUCCGUGCCGCAGCUAACGCAUUAAGCGCCCCGCCUGGGGAGUACGGCCGCAAGGCUAAAACUCAAAGAAAUUGACGGA
rnacentral:rRNA from 1 species